UCCCGCUAAUCUGAUUCGUACACCGGCAAUAUAUCCAGUGAAGUACUUAGGAAAUGAUACACAGAAAUAUUGUCACGAAAGUCACAUAUAGACAAUGCAAUUGUGUAAAAACAAAAAAAACACGUGCACCGGUCAGAAAAAGUUACACAAUUUUCGCCUGUUCCAUUUAAGGUGUACACAACUAUCCACUACGAGUAGGUAUAGGAUUAUCGUACGAAUAGAAUACAUUAUAGGUACACCACAAGCAACCUCACACCGGGUUUUCUGGACCACUUUGGGAAUACCCAACCGGUGGAGGGGCCGCGGACUUCGCUCGUUGACGGGCCACGGACAAUUACACGAUAAAAUCAAAACGGCAAAUCGUCCGGCGACGUACGCAUUGAAUAAUACGAAAAUAUAAUCGUUUCGGACGGUCGCGCAAAUGCACAAAUAUAUUAAAAUUGUGACGAAAAAAAAACCACGUGUGUGCCGGCCAGGACCGAGUAUCGAAUAGGUAUUUCCACAUACAUGGUACUUACUGCGGGUUCGGUGUGUCAGCAAUGUAAUAAACGACGAAAUCGCCGCCUUCCGUCCGCUGUUAUAGACCCAAAAAUAAUUUGUCUCGUACGUCAAGACAUUAGAGGAGAGAAAAAUUAAAGCCGUUUCGGACGCAUAAAGAACGAGUUCACCGAUCGGCGGACCAGAGCAAAUGAAAUAAAAGCGAUAAGGAGGACCGGACGCGGUGCGCGCAGCUAUGCGGCGGCGACGACAAC